rnacentral:pre_miRNA from 1 species
CGUGCACUGGUGGGGUCCCUCAGCCUGGCCUGUGCCCUCUCACAACCCAGGACCCUUUGGGGGAUGUCAGAGAGCUGGUUUCGGCCCAAUCCUGCAGGCCAGGCUGAGGGACCCCACUGGUGCAUG